ACGUCACCGAUACUCCACGUGGCAUAUCCCAUACGCACCCCGCCGCACCCCCGCACUGUGAAGUAUUCCAUACGCAGUUCUUCACUCAAGUGAAGUAUCCUUGCUUUCUAGAAUGGCAAGACAAAACGUCCUAUAGUAGCAACCACCAGGACAAGGCAGCCUAAUUGUUGGCCCAAGCUGAAGUCAAAAAUUACAAUUUAUUUGUUACUGUCCGUUGCUUCUUCUUUCUGUUUUUCAUCUUGUUCUUCAAGGAAUGGGACCCGGGAUACGCGACUGCGUACUGCCAAUGCUAUCAAAGCUAAAGAAAUGUAAAAACGUUUUUCUGUGUUCGACUAAUGCAUUCUGGCUCAUACUUGCUACAUUGUCCGAUAUUGAAUGCUGGCAUUGACACAGUUAGAAGCAUCAACCCCUGAAUAGUAGAGAAGAGAACAGGAGCAUAUAGAAAUUUCCAAGGAAUGAGUCGGCAAAGAAUGCAAAAGGUAUUGAUAAGAAGAACGUUAAUCCAUUCCAGACGUUGAUAAUACCAGCUGCGUGUGCAACACUUAGCUUCCAAACAUUCGUCCAAGAUUAAACAGCCAGAAUUUGCACCACCUUCAUUAGACGUUGGUGAUCCUGCAAUUGAGAGUUGAUCGGAGAUGGUGCGUAUCUCCUGGAGAUAAUCAGCUACAGACUUGUUUUGGUGAGUAAUUCAGCCUAGUUGUUCACGGAGGCCAAAUAUUCGGGUUUGAGAUAUAUUGAGAAAUUUUUAUUUUAUAACUUUAUUUCGACUUGUCAGGCACCCUUACAUGAAUAUACAAAAAAAAAUUACAUGCAUAUAUAUAAUAUUUUACCUGAAUCUCAUAUGUGGAGUUAAUUUUCUAACAACACCGCGUACAUACACACACACAACGAGCACAUUUACACACACAGCGAGCACAUGUACAGAGCAUUUCUCGCACCUUCUGUAGUCUUGUGGCUGGUUUCGGUUUCGGUUUCGGUUCAGGUAAAAUCAGGGCAACAAUAAUAAGGUAACAAAAGAGAUUGAGUGAGCUGAUAACUGCCAAAGUCCAAUAAUAAUUAUCCAGACGACACUGGUUUAAUGUGUGCUUGAACCAAUUUGUCUUCGAUCCUCCAUUCUCACUCACCUUUCCUACUAUAUACACCGACAAGUAACUAGCUGCAAUUCCUAUACCUGUCAAUCCUGUUGUAAAAUACUGUAUGUACUUGUCCAUAGUUGAUGGAUAUCUGGUCUUGAAUAAUUCUUCAUAGCAAGUAUAUGAAAUUCCAUUAAACACUCCAAGAAGUAGGUAUUGUGGAACCAAGGUGAACAUUGACAUCGAAAUUUUAGUAUCUUUGGAAGGGUUGUCUGUUAGUAGAUCAGGUUUGCUACUUAUCACUUUUAAUCUUCGUGUUUCAACCUUUGCAGCAGUAAUGCAGCACAAAAUGGAAGUAACUAAAGCGAGACCUAUUCCUAGUAUUGGGAAAUACUUUUUCUUCUCUUUGGCUGACCAUCCUUUGGCAAAGAGGUAGAUGCGUGUAGAAAUGAUACUUGCACCGAAAGAGAAGAAAAAGAAGAUGAUGCUGUUAACUCUGAGGCGGCCCAGUGUUUGAUUUAGGUGAUUUGCUUGUUCAAGAAAGUAGGUGUUCCCGAGGGAGAGGACAAAUCCACAGACUAUCAAGGUAAUACACAAUGGAGCCAUUCGAAGGCAGACUUUGGUGUCCUCUACUUCUCUCACGCUGCAAAGGUGCCACUUAUCCAAUUUCUGUUCUUCUUCCGAUGGACUUGGGAGUUUCAUGGACUUUUUGGAUAUGGCGGCCACAAAGACUCUGAAGAAUGUCGUUAAUGGGCUUCCCUGAGGUCCUUUGUGUUGGUAGGGAUGCCAAAACUGGCCAUUCAAGAAGACGAGUAGCGCCACGAGGCU